UCAACAUGAGAGUUUGAUCCUGGCUCAGAACGAACGCUGGCGGCAGGCUUAACACAUGCAAGUCGAGCGCCCCGCAAGGGGAGCGGCAGACGGGUGAGUAAC
rnacentral:rRNA from 1 species